rnacentral:lncRNA from 1 species
GCGGAGGGCUUGCUCCUGUGUCCUUCCUCAGGUCUGAUUCUCCCACCCGAACCCGAGCCCUGCACACCCUGCAGAGCUCUGCAGCUCCACUGGGCUGCACUGGGCAUAGGUGAAGGGCAUACUAGAUGGAGGAGCAAGGUGUCUGCACCAAGGAUCGAGCUCUGGACCAGAGCCCUAACGUGGGAAGUGUAGACCCUCCCGGGUCGCUAACUUUAGUGUGUGGGGUUACAGGGUCAAAUCAAGAUAGUCCGCGCUCAAUCUGGGCUGGGGAUUCUGUUGUGGCAGCAACCACCAGCUCCCCUCAAAAAACGUAACUCGCUUCAAGAGCGAUGAGAAGGGGCUGUUCAUUUUGCUUUCAGGAUCCUUCACUGACCUUCGUAAAUACAUGGAAAGAUGAGAAGGUUCUGGGACAGAAAAGGGUGGAAGGAUGGACUUGUCAGAAGGAGGGGCAGAAGCAGAAGCACAAUGGGGGCUCCUCUCCCUCUCCAAGUGCUUCUUUCCUAGAGCCUCCGGGGAGGAGGCGGCUUUCCCUUUCCACAUCCAAGGCAAGCUGCAUACAACGCAGAGGUGUCCAGUUCUCUGUUAGACUGGGAGUUAGGGGAUUACCAGCAUCCUCUCCUCCUCACUUGCUCACGUCUUCGGUGGAUUCUGGCUGCUUCAUUUCCCAAACAGAUGGCAAAGUGGCCCUCCUUCUGUCUCCACUGUCCUCCUUUCACUGUCCAGACACAGUCCUCAGUGACCCGCCCCCCCCCCCCCCCCCGGUGGGCUUAACUCUCCUGGCAAAGUCCAGUCUCUUGAUCAGGAACUUUGAGGAUCCAGGUCCCACAGAGGUCUUCACUGUCUCCUACCCCACAUGAUCACCUAUCUCCAUAGCCCUGCCAGGCUCUUAGCGGCCACUCUGGCUGCUUCCAAGGCUGUAGCCUGCUUCUCCCAUGCUGACUUCUCUUCCUGGGCUCAACAGCAAAGGUUCCCUCAGCAGAGAAAACCCUAGGCUUUGAGCCAUGGUGUGUCCCAGUUUCCUCUGUGUUUAAUAUUUGUGCUUCCUGCUGUUGUGGCUGCUGCAUGUGGGCAGGAACUGCUUCUGUUUUGUUUAUUGCUCUGUGUACUUCCCACCCAGCCUAGGAUCAAUAAAUAGGUGUUGAGCCAGGUAUGGUGGCUCAUGCCUAUAAUCCUA